CUACGUGCCAGCAGCCGCGGUAAUACGUAGGGUGCGAGCGUUAAUCGGAAUUACUGGGCGUAAAGCGAGCGCAGACGGUUACUUAAGCAGGAUGUGAAAUCCCCGGGCUCAACCUGGGAACUGCGUUCUGAACUGGGUGACUAGAGUGUGUUAGAGGGAGGUAGAAUUCCACGUGUAGCAGUGAAAUGCGUAGAGAUGUGGAGGAAUACCGAUGGCGAAGGCAGCCUCCUGGGAUAACACUGACGUUCAUGCCCGAAAGCGUGGGUAGCAAACAGGAUUAGAUACCCUGGUAGUCCACGCCCUAAACGAUGUCGAUUAGCUGUUGGGCAGCAUGACUGCUUAGUAGCGAAGCUAACGCGUGAAAUCGACCGCCUGGGGAGUACGGUCGCAAGAUUAAAACUCAAAGGAAUUGACGGGGACCCGCACAAGCGGUGGAGCAUGUGGUUUAAUUCGAAGCAACGCGAAGAACCUUACCAAGUCUUGACAUCCUUUGACCACUCUAGAGAUAGAGCUUUCCCUUCGG
rnacentral:rRNA from 1 species